rnacentral:rRNA from 1 species
GAACGGUGAAGCCCAGCUUGCUGGGUGGAUCAGUGGCGAACGGGUGAGUAACACGUGAGCAACCUGCCCUCCACUUCGGGAUAAGCCUUGGAAACGAGGUCUAAUACCGGAUAUGAGCACUUACCGCAUGGUGGGUGUUGGAAAGUUUUUCGGUGGGGGAUGGGCUCGCGGCCUAUCAGCUUGUUGGUGGGGUAAUGGCCUACCAAGGCGUCGACGGGUAGCCGGCCUGAGAGGGCGACCGGCCACACUGGGACUGAGACACGGCCCAGACUCCUACGGGAGGCAGCAGUGGGGAAUAUUGCACAAUGGGCGAAAGCCUGAUGCAGCGACGCCACGUGAGGGAUGACGGCCUUCGGGUUGUAAACCUCUUUCAGCAGGGAAGAAGCGCAAGUGACGGUACCUGCAGAAGAAGCGCCGGCUAACUACGUGCCAGCAGCCGCGGUAAUACGUAGGGCGCAAGCGUUGUCCGGAAUUAUUGGGCGUAAAGAGCUCGUAGGCGGUCUGUCGCGUCUGGUGUGAAAUCCCAUGGCUCAACCAUGGGCUUGCAUCGGGUACGGGCAGACUAGAGUGCUGUAGGGGAGACUGGAAUUCCUGGUGUAGCGGUGGAAUGCGCAGAUAUCAGGAGGAACACCGAUGGCGAAGGCAGGUCUCUGGGCAGUUACUGACGCUGAGGAGCGAAAGCAUGGGGAGCGAACAGGAUUAGAUACCCUGGUAGUCCAUGCCGUAAACGUUGGGCACUAGGUGUGGGG